rnacentral:rRNA from 1 species
GACGAACGCUGGCGGCGUGCUUAACACAUGCAAGUCGAACGGAAAGGCCCUGCUUUUGUGGGGUGCUCGAGUGGCGAACGGGUGAGUAACACGUGAGUAACCUGCCCUUGACUUUGGGAUAACUUCAGGAAACUGGGGCUAAUACCGGAUCGGCGCUCCUGCUGCAUGGUGGGGGUUGGAAAGUUUCGGCGGUUGGGGAUGGACGCGCGGCUUAUCAGCUUGUUGGUGGAGUAGUGGCUUACCAAGGCUUUGACGGGUAGCCGGCAUGAGAGGGUGAACGGCGACAUUGGGACUGAGGGACGGCCCAGACUCCUACGGGAGGCAGCAGUGGGGAAUAUUGCACAAUGGGCGGAAGCCUGAUGCAGCAACGCCGCGUGCGGGAUGACGGCCUUCGGGUUGUAAACCGCUUUCGCCUGUGACGAAGCGUGAGUGACGGUAAUGGGUAAAGAAGCACCGGCUAACUACGUG